GACAGAGGAUGCAAGCGUUGUUCGGAAUUAUUGGGCGUAAAGGGCGCGUAGGCGGCUGUACAAGUCAAAGGUGAAAUCCCUCGGCUCAACUGAGGAACUGCCUUUGAAACUGUACGGCUUGAGGCCGGGAGGGGGUAGCGGAAUUCCCAAUGUAGCGGUGAAAUGCGUAGAUAUUGGGAGGAACACCAGUGGCGAAGGCGGCUACCUGGACCGGUUCUGACGCUGAGGCGCGAAAGCGUGGGUAGCAAACAGG
rnacentral:rRNA from 1 species